AUCGAUGAAGAACGCAGCGAAAUGCGAUAAGUAAUGCGAAUUGCAGAAUUCAGUGAGUCAUCGAAUCUUUGAACGCACAUUGCGCCCUUUGGUAUUCCGAAGGGCAUGCCUGUUCGAGCGUCAUUAUCAACCCUCAAGCCUGGCUUGCUGUUGGACCUCUCGUCGUUAAAGACGGGUCCUAAAGUUAAUGGUGGAGUCAUCGGACCCUAGAUGCAACGAGCUCUCGUAGCACGCAUUUAAGGGGCUGGUGGCUCUAGUCUCAACCCAUAUCAUUUACAAGGUUGACCUCGGAUCAGGUAGGAAUACCCGCUGAACUUAAGCAUAUCAAUAAGCGGAGGAAAAGAAACCAACAGGGAUUACCUCAGUAACGGCGAGUGAAGCGGUAACAGCUCAAAUUUGAAAUCUGCCAACAGGCCGAGUUGUAAUUUGUAGAAGAUGCUUCGGGUGUGGCACCGGUCUAAGUUCAUUGGAACAUGACGUCAUAGAGGGUGAGAAUCCCGUAUGUGACUGGUUGCCUAUGCUCAUGUGAAGCUCUUUCAACGAGUCGAGUUGUUUGGGAAUGCAGCUCAAAAUGGGUGGUAUAUUUCAUCUAAAGCUAAAUAUUGGCCAGAGACCGAUAGCGCACAAGUAGAGUGAUUGAAAGAUGAAAAGCACUUUGGAAAGAGAGUUAAACAGUACGUGAAAUUGUUGAAAGGGAAGCGCUUGCAAUCAGACUUGCACGUUUUCGAUCAUCCGGUGUUCUCACCGGUGCACUCGAUUUCGUUCAGGCCAGCAUCGGUUUUGGUGGUUAGAUAAAGACCUUAGGAAUGUGGCUCUUUCGGGAGUGUUAUAGCCUGGGGUGUAAUGUAGCCUACCGGGACCGAGGACCGCGCUUCGGCUAGGAUGCUGGCGUAAUGGUUGUAAGCGACCCGUCUUGAAACACGG
rnacentral:rRNA from 1 species